UUUAAUCUAUUGCUAUAAUUUGCUUCAACUUAUUUGCUCCGUUUUUAAUAUUUGCAUAUAACAGGUAUUCUAUACAUGUGCUGCCAAAUAUUCAAGCUUUGAAGGGAAGUAUACUUACCCAGCUUGCGCUAAGUGCACCAGGCGAGUUGUAAGAAAUGGUGGCACUAUGAAGUGCCCAAGAUGCACACCUCCUCAAUCCAUAACUCAAGCGUAAGUGCUAUUCAACCGUCAGAAUUCUUCGUUCAAAGUUGAUAAUCGAAUGAAAAAACUAAUUGCAAUACAUUUUCAUACAGAAUCGUUAUCACAAUAAGCAUACAAGAUAUUAGUGGGACUUGCA
rnacentral:lncRNA from 1 species